rnacentral:rRNA from 1 species
CAAGCGGUGGAGCAUGUGGUUUAAUUCGAAGCAACGCGAAGAACCUUACCAGGUCUUGACAUCCUCUGACACUCCUAGAGAUAGGACGCUCCCCUUCGGGGGACAGAGUGACAGGUGGUGCAUGGUUGUCGUCAGCUCGUGUCGUGAGAUGUUGGGUUAAGUCCCGCAACGAGCGCAACCCUUGAUCUUAGUUGCCAGCAUUCAGUUGGGCACUCUAAGGUGACUGCCGGUGACAAACCGGAGGAAGGUGGGGAUGACGUCAAAUCAUCAUGCCCCUUAUGACCUGGGCUACACACGUGCUACAAUGGAUGGUACAAAGGGCUGCAAAACCGCGAGGUCGAGCGAAUCCCAUAAAACCAUUCUCAGUUCGGAUUGUAGGCUGCAACUCGCCUACAUGAAGCUGGAAUCGCUAGUAAUCGUGGAUCAGCAUGCCACGGUGAAUACGUUCCCGGGUCUUGUACACACC